rnacentral:rRNA from 1 species
GUCAGCUCGUGUCGUGGAGAUGGUGGGUUAAGUCCCGCAACGAGCGCAACCCCUAUAUUAUGUGGCCAGCGCGUUAUGGCGGGGACUCGUAAGAGACUGCCGGGGUCAACUCGGAGGAAGGUGGGGACGACGUCAAGUCAUCAUGCCCCUUAGGUCCAGGGCUUCACACAUGCUACAAUGGCCAGUACAGAGGGCUGCGAGACCGUGAGGUGGAGCGAAUCCCUUAAAGCUGGUCUCAGUUCGGAUCGGGGUCUGCAACUCGACCCCGUGAAGUCGGAGUCGCUAGUAAUCGCAGAUCAGCAACGCUGCGGUGAAUACGUUCCCGGGCCUUGUACACACCGCCCGUCACGUCAUGAAAGUCGGUAACACCCGAAGCCGGUGGCCUAACCCC